rnacentral:rRNA from 1 species
UACAGAGGGGGCAAGCGUUAUUCGGAAUUAUUGGGCGUAAAGGGCGCGUAGGCGGCUUGGCAAGUGGAUGGUGAAAUCCCUCGGCUUAACCGAGGAACUGCCAUCCAGACUGCUUUGCUUGAGGCCGGGAGAGGUGAGUGGAAUUCCCAGUGUAGCGGUGAAAUGCGUAGAUAUUGGGAGGAACACCAGUGGCGAAGGCGGCUCACUGGACCGGUUCUGACGCUGAGGCACGAAAGCGUGGGGAGCAAACAGG